GGUUCAGGUUGAUCGGUACUCGGGUUAUUCGGUUCGGUUAUAGUAUUUAAAAUUAUUUCCGAAAUUAAACCGAUCGUUUUCUAUUUCGGUUAAUUUAAACCGAAUUACAAAAAAAAAAUUGCAACAAAGCCCAAACUCAUUACAUCAUCAAAAUACAUUAACAAAUUUACAAACCCAAUAAAUAAUUUUACAAGGUCCAACCCAUUAAAAUUAGGGUUUUCGACAAUGGUUGACGGUGACAACGAGACAACGACGGUGACAAAGAGACAACGACGGUGACAAAGAGACAACGACGGCGACGGCGAGGCAACCACGGCGAGGGUGAUGUCAAAUCUUUAUGUCCGAUGAAGCUUGUUAUUUGCCAACCGCAAGAAAAUCUGCCACCAACAAGAUCUAUUAGAUAUCAUCAUCAUAACCACAUAAAAGUAAAAAAAAUUGAAAAUUCAACGAAGGUUGGUCAGAUCUAAAGAGUAACCAGUGAAUCCAGCCGUGAGUUUGGUGAUGAGGAAGAGCUUAGCGAGAAAACAACAAAUAAUCAAACUAAGAAGCGAUUAAGGGAAGAAAAAAAGAGCUUAUCCCUAAAAAAUUGUGGUUACGGGUGUAGAAAGAGGAAGAGCUAACAACAAUUGAUGAAGAAAAAGAAACGUGGUGCUGAUUAUGGCUUAGGUUGGAGAAGAAGAUGAACUCGGCUUUAGAUAGAGGCAGAGGCGCAGAAGAAAAUGAAACCAAAUUAGGGUAAAUGACUCAGUAUCCUUAUAUAUGGCUGCAAAUUCUCGGUUUAAGUAAAACCGAUCGGUUCCGAUUACCGGACCGACCCGAACCGAAAUCCGAUUACCCAAAUUAAUUUCGCCGAUCGGUUAGGAAGAAGCUGUUUGGUUUACGCCGAUAACCGAAAAUGUCGGUUUGAUCGGGUCGGUUUGAUCGGUUUUCACCGAACUCCCAGCGCUAGAAUUCAUCAAUGUCGUCCACCGCUUCCGUUUCCGCUUCCGCCGCAACGGACGGCCAACCACCGUGGAAGAAGAAGCAGACGCAGUCGAAAGAGCAAACCUCAAAUCCUUCACUUCCAAAUGAUUUAGUAGUAACCUGCUUAGCUCGCGUCUCGAGAUCGUAUCACCCAAAUCUCUCCUUAGUCUCCAAAAACUUCCGCUCAAUCAUUGCUUCACCGGAGCUUUACCAAACCCGAACCCUCUUAGGACUCACUGAGAAUUUUCUCUACGUGUGCUUACUCUUCCCUCAUGAAGCUAACCCUCGCUGGUUCAUUCUCAAACCUAAUCAAACCCUAACCAAUCACACCACUAAGAAGACGAAGAAGAAGAAGAAGAAGAAGAAGAAGGUUUCAAGAAGUGGCAAUCGUUUAGCUUCAAUCACAAUUCUCAAUUCUCCGACAGUGGAAUGGUCAGGUCUUGUAGCUGUUGGUUCUAAUCUCUACGCCAUUAGCAAAGACAUUGAAGAAGCUCCUCACUAUAACAUUUGUUUUUUUGAUUGUCGAACUCAUACUUGGCUUGAAGCUCCAAGAAUGUCAUUAUCUCACCCGGAUGGUGAGUUUGAAAGGAAGAUGUAUUUACCAUGAAGUUCUGAGAAUCCAGAUUCUUUGAACUGUGUUGAAGUUUACAACACAAAGACUCAGACUUGGAAACCUGUACCACCCGAAACAUUGAGAUACGAAUUUGAUAUUGUACAAGGAAAGAUUUACAUGAGCUUGGAUGCAGUGUUUGGUGUAGCUUUUAAGCCAAAGGAUUUGAAAUGGGAAUUGGUAGGAUUGGAUAUAGAUUCGGAUCAGUGUCCUGUUUGUAUGAUAGAGAACAUAACCUAUUGUUAUAACUUAUAACAAUGAGUUUUUAUGGAAAAAGUUUAGUAUUGCGGGAUCGGUUUGGAAAAGAGUAGCGGGUUUAGAAGGGCUACCGAAGUUUGCUAGUUAUUGUACUGUUAGAUUGGCGGAUUACGGUGGUAAGUUGGUGGUUUUUUGGGACAAGUAUGUGCCUGCUAGUGGGUAUAAGAAGAAGAUGAUUUGGUGUGCAGAGAUUUCGCUUGAAAUGCGCAGUGGUGAAGAGAUUUCGGGGAAGGUCGAGUGGUUUGAUGCGGUGCUUACAGUUCCUAAGUCUUAUAAAUUCGUGAGUGCUAUCGCUGCUACUCUUUGAUUUAUGACCCAUGACAUAGGUUUGAACGUAAUGAAUCAGGUUAUCUAGGUUUCUUUUUUUUAAGCAUGUCACUUUUUGAGGAAUGUCUUGUGUUUUUAGCAAAAUGCAAUUGACGUUUUUUCCGCUUGUAAAAGAUCUGCACUCGCUUUGCUAGCUUAUUUUGUGACUCUCUCUUUGAUAAGCCUUUUGAAGCCAAAUCCUAUCUGCUACUGUUUGAUGAAUGACUCUUGAGACAAGCGGGUAAUGUCGUUUGUGUUCUGAAUGUAUGCGUUGCAAAAUGGCUAUAUAUGUGACUGUGAUGAAUGCUUCUCUCA
rnacentral:lncRNA from 1 species